rnacentral:lncRNA from 1 species
UUAAGAAGAAUAAAAAAAAGCCCUAACUAUACUAAGUCCCUAAUCUUCUACCUUUAAUCACAUGUAUUAGGCCUAGAAUUCUAGUGGGUGUUGAUGAAAAAUAAAUAAAUUAAGUUAAAAAAUAUUUAUUCAAGAAGCUUUGGUGAAGAAGUGUUUCAAAUAUUACCUAGGAGCUUUGGAGAGGAAAGGGUUUGUGAUAUCCCUUAAGUAUUAUGUUUUGGGUCUUUUAAAAUAACUGGGCAAAAACCUUCUUCGCGUUCGCGACAGACUCCUCGCAUUCGCGAUGAGUCACGCCCACAGACCUUCGCGAUCAUUUGCGGAGAGUAAUCUCCUCAACCCUCGCGUUUCCUACAGAGAGUCGUGUUCGCGAUGAACAAUUUUUGUGGCCCCUCCCCUGAACCCUAUGCGUUCCCGAGUGGACGAAAGCAUUUGUGAAGGGUCUCCCCCUCUGGUUCGCAUUCCCGAAGAAGAACCUAGCACUUAUGGAUUUUUUCCAUACGCAUUCGCGAGUGAGACUAUGCGAACGUGAAGGACAAAUUCUCUGUGCACUAAUUGCAGAAAAUCUGCAACACUUACUUAUGUCUAAAACUUCCUGAAUCACAUCCGAAACACACCCGAGCCUUCGGGGUCCUAACCAGACACACGUACUAACUCAACAACAUCAUACGAACUUAUCCUGAGAUCUAAUUGCUAAAAUUAGCUCAAAAACAAUGAAUCAAGCCUAAAAAUCAAGAAUUUUUCUCAAACUUAUUCAAGUAUCAAAUUUAGCAAUGCAAGUCCGCAUCACGCCAAACGAUGUCCUCUUUUUAAAAAAAUUUACAGGAACUUAAACCAUAUAUAAGACAUGUACCAGG